AAAAUUAACAUUUUAAAACUAAAAUAAUUAACUAUUUAAUGCAUUUUAUUUGCAGCUAUAGGGGAAAACCAUGCCCGUGAUUAGUUAAUUAUAAACUUUACAAAACAACGUAUCUUUUAGUAAAAAGGGUCAACAUUAAGAUUUCAUGAAAAUUUAUGACUAAGAAAAGUGUUUAGUAUACAUUUUUACAGGUAUGCAAUGAAAAUUUUAUGAUCAAGUAAACUUAUUUCUACUUGGCAUUGCAUGGCAACAUGUGACUUUAUAAGAAUCAUUACAAGCAAAAUUUUUUUUUACGAUCCCAGUAAUAAUUUAUUACUUGAAAUUAAUAAUACAAUUAAAUGUGCAUGCCAUUUAAGUAAGGAAUGUUACGUAUAAAAUACGAUUCACUUAUUUUGUUAGCAUAUUUGUUGUUAUUUCAUAUUACUAUAUCACAGGAAAAACCCGCUGAAGAUGUUCACGUAAAGCAAAAAAAUGAAACCUUUUUAAACGUAACAUAUUUCCCGAAAUUAGAUAAUGAACAAAGAAAGGAAAUGUUCUCACUUGAAAUAUUGCAAGCAAAUCCAAUUGAGACGACAACAGAAGAAACAGAUGGAAAAGAAACAAAUGGGAAUAAAAUUGAAUCAGAAAACAUUAGAGAAUAUCCAGAUUAUUGCAAAAUAUUUGGAUAUUGUAUAUAUAUAUUUUGCAUGUGUAACUAACAAUGUACCAGAAUCGCUGACCACUACAUAAAUUUACUGAAAUUUUGUUUGGAUUUAGUAAGUUCACCACAUUUCAAAUGGGUAUAUGAUUUUCUGCAAAUAAUGUAGUGAAACUUCUCAUUUACUUGUUUAAAUAUUAUUAUUAUUAGUCUCGUAAGAUUUAUGUAGUAAUUUUAGUUAUCACAAAACAUAUUAAAAUUUCGUAAUGAAAUUAUAACUAAAAUUGAAUCUAAAAUGUAGACCGAAGUGGAACAGCAUUACUUGUUCAAAUAUUUAAUACAAAUAUCUGUACCUGAUAA